UAGGGAAUCUUCCACAAUGGACGCAAGUCUGAUGGAGCAACGCCGCGUGAGUGAAGAAGGUUUUCGGAUCGUAAAGCUCUGUUGUUGGUGAAGAAGGAUAGAGGUAGUAACUGGCCUUUAUUUGACGGUAAUCAACCAGAAAGUCACGGCUAACUACGUGCCAGCAGCCGCGGUAAUACGUAGGUGGCAAGCGUUGUCCGGAUUUAUUGGGCGUAAAGCGAGCGCAGGCGGAAGAAUAAGUCUGAUGUGAAAGCCCUCGGCUUAACCCAGGAACAGCAUCGGAAACUGUUUUUCUUGAGUGCAGAAGAGGAGAGUGGAAUUCCAUGUGUAGCGGUGGAAUGCGUAGAUAUAUGGAGGAUCACCAGUGGCGAAGGCGACUCUCUGGUCUGCAACUGACGCUGAGGCUCGAAAGCAUGGGUAGCGAACAGG
rnacentral:rRNA from 1 species